rnacentral:rRNA from 1 species
AGUAAAGGGUUUUUCCGUAGGGUGAACCUGGCGGAAGGAUCAUUA